UGUGACCCUCAGGAAAUGUCAGGUUUGGGAACUCUUUACUUCCAGGUGUCUCAGUGCUCUGACCACAGCAUUCCUCUCUGCGGGGGUGAUAAUAGUUAUAUCUCUGAGACUGGGGGUAGUAGUCAGUCAGAUGUAUGGGGAUGUGGUCGUGCAAUGUCUGU